UUAACAAGAACAAAAACAGAGGUCGUGAGAAAAACAGAUACUUUGUGGUGAGAAUUACAACACCACCUCCCCUCCAUUGAUUUGUUUUUCUGCAUUUUUUUUGUACUGCCUACAACACAUGUUCAUAGCUUAACAUUUCUCCAUCAUCUAGUCCCCAUCCCUCUACUUCGUGAUAAUCACUUGCAUAGAUUCUUGUCACCGGGAACAACUUGAGACAUGAACAGUAGCAAGCAUUAGGGGUUGUUCUGGCCAACCGUCUCCAAUUUGAUUGUUGUUUGUUAUACAUAUUACUUAACAUCUCCAAAUCUUGAGUACAGUGUUAGGACCUAAACUUUAUGUUAGAAGUACAAUACUCACUUAAACUACUCCAUAACUCAACUUGGAUAAGACCAAAUUCAAUGAGAAAAAUAAAUAUAUAAUGCUUCAAACUCCAUAGAAUCCCCAUCCUCCAUUGAAUCCACUUGAGACAUUUGUUCUCCGUCUCCCAUCUUUCCCCAAAGUACGAUGGAGAUUCUAACGAUAAUGAUCGCAGCACCAACAAUCGUGAUUUCAAAGAAAUAAAACAAGUCAACUUAUUUUAUAGAGUAUUAUUAUUAUAGUUCAUAUAUUAGA
rnacentral:sRNA from 1 species